UAAUUUAUAUAGUUUAAUUAUUAAAACAUUACAUUUUCACUGUAAAAAUAAAAUAUAUAUUUUUAUAWAUA
rnacentral:tRNA from 1 species